AUGAGCAACAUGCGGGAGGCGGAGGCAACGCUCGAGUACUGGCGCCGCUGCUACGGCCUCGCCGAUGAGGACCUCGACCGCUACUGCCGCUACCUCAACGACAAGGACGACUGGACGAGGACGACUGGUUCGCCGACCUCUGAAAUGGCGCCUGCAAGAUUCUUGCCAUGGCAGAGGCAGCGGCACUAUAAGAAAACAUAG
rnacentral:rRNA from 1 species